AAGAGACCCAGACACUCCAGACCACAGUGUGACAGAGAUGGGGAUGGAGACCCCAGCACGCCGGGUCAGAGCAGCCGCCAGCCUGAACCAGGGCAAGAAGCUGCGGAACAAAGACUCCAACCAGAAAAGCAUGAAGAAGGAGCAGAACGGGAGACAGCCUGAGAGCCGCUGGAGCCGCUUCUCCUAGGGAGUUUCAGAUUCUCUUUAUUCUGAAGACAAAAGCAAAAUGAAGAUGACAGACGGUGAGAGAUGUUUAGCGGGUUUGUUUUUCUGCAGACGUUCUGGAGGACCUGGAUGAAAUCGCCAAUUAGCCCUCCUCCCCGCAAGCAAGCUCCCAAGUCCACAACCCUGGUGGGAACUAAGUUCCCCACCCAGCCCCAGCUGGAGGCAACUCUCACUCUGUCUCUCUCACCCCCGGUUUAUGUGUCUUUGUCCCUGCAGCUGCACGUCUGACUCCUUCUUCUUUCUUUCUUGGUCUCCCUUACCUUAGAUUUUUCUUCCUUGGUAUUUUCUGGUCUCCUGCCUCCCUCUCUGACCCAUCUCACUCCGAGGAGCCACUGGAGCAGGCUCUCUGGCCCUUGGACCCAUCUGUCUCCUGCCUCUGGCAUUUCUUGCGCCCCUCCCGGUGUGUCCUCCCGUCUCACCCCCACGCUGUCUCAUUGUUCAUUGGCGAUUGACCUUAGUUUCUUUUUUUUUUUUUUUUGAGACAGUCUCUCCCUCUCACCCAGGCUGGAGUGUAGUGGCUCAGUCUCGGCUCACUGCAACCUCCACCUCUCAGGUUCAAGUGAUUCUCCUGCCUCAGCCUCCUGAGUAGCUGGGAUUACAGGUGUCCACCACCACACCUGGCUAAUUUUUGCAUUGUUAGUAGAGACGGGUUUCACCGUGUUGGCCAGGCUGGUCUUGAACUCCUGACCUCAGGUGAUCCUCCUGCCUCAGCCUCCCUAAGUGCUGGGAUUACAGGCAUGAGCCACUGCACCCGGCCAUUGACCUUAGUUUUUGAUGUCCAUCCGCUGCAGGUGUCCCUCCCGUGGCCCUGGGCAGUGCGUCCAGGUGGCCUGUGGAGCAGGAGAGUGGAGUCCCCAGCCAGAAUUUGCUGUGCAGAGAGGGAGACCCUGCAUUGCUCUCAGCUGCGGGCAGCUUGGCAUAAGGAAAAGGCAGUGCCCAUAGUUAGGGGAACAGAAGAGGCAGCCAGCAGCAACUUUCAUCCAGAGUGGAUCUGAAAUUCCAGGCCAGGCCUGAGGAAUGCUCAGCUGCUUUUGUGUGCAUACACACACACACGGAGACACACACAUACACGCACGCAUACCCACACGGGGACACACACACAUACACACACAGACACAUAUGGGGACACACACAGGGACACACACAUACACGGGGACACACAAGGGGACACACAUACACACAAGGACAUACACACAGGGACACAAAGCACAACAGCCACACACUGGGCAGCCUCAGAUGGCCUCACAACCAGACUCCCAAAUUCACAUCUCUCCACAGUCAUCCAGGAACCACAGUCCUUCCAACUCCCAACCCCAAACCACACUGCCCGGAGACAUUCCCCUGCCCCACAGGGCACCAGGAGCCCUGAGGCUAGAAAGGGGCUCUGGGCAUGUGCACUGCGUAAGGGAGAAGGAUAAUUUGUCUCAACUUAAAUCCAGCCCUCGCUAUGGGGACACCAGCCUCUCCCUGGCGACCGUGAAAGGGAGGACGAGGAGGAGGAAGAGGAGAAGGGGGA
rnacentral:lncRNA from 1 species